rnacentral:rRNA from 1 species
UACGAAGGGGGCUAGCGUUGCUCGGAAUUACUGGGCGUAAAGGGCGCGUAGGCGGCACUGUUAGUCAGGCGUGAAAUUCCUGGGCUCAACUUGGGGACUGCGCUUGAUACGGCAGAGCUAGAGGAUGGAAGAGGCUCGCGGAAUUCCCAGUGUAGAGGUGAAAUUCGUAGAUAUUGGGAAGAACACCGGUGGCGAAGGCGGCGAGCUGGUCCAUUACUGACGCUGAGGCGCGACAGCGUGGGGAGCAAACAGG